rnacentral:lncRNA from 1 species
GUCUGGGGUCUGGGACCCGGGCUCAGCCUGUUUUAGCUGCUGCUCAGGUGCUUUCUGCAGAGGGGGCGCGUCACCCGCUCCACCCAUGGGGGAGAGCGGGGGACGUGUCCCCCGGGACGGGCUCCUGCAAGGGGCACCUUGGCAGGGCGGACGUUGGAAGCUGAAUGCGGAGGAAGCAUCUGGAAGCGGAGAUCUUGGCCUCAGCUCUCCUGUCCUGGGGACGCUCUGCAAGUCACCGGCAGGCAUUUGGAUUCACUGUUCAAGUCAGCCGUCCUCUCCAGUGAACUGGACGAGAAGGGCCAGGGUCGAGGAGUACAAAACAUGGUAGCUGAAGGUCUGCCGACUUGGCAGGGUUAGUGGGCAUCCUUCUCUAAGGAGGGCUGUGAGCACAGGCAAAUGUCUAACACAAUUAUAUUUUCCCUUCCUUCCUCCCUCCCUCCCUCCCUCCCU